GAGAGCUCCUGCAUGGUCCCUGACUUCCUGACAUCCCCGUGGAUACCAAGAGCAGCCAGGGACAGGAGACCACUGGGGAGCAGGGGCAGAUGUGGCUGUGGUGAGGCCGAACACCAUGCGGUAGCGUUCGCUCUUGAGAAGAAUGUGUUUCAGCCAAGUUGGCUGGCCUCUGAGUCUUGCAGCUGUGGUCCCAGAUACUCAGGGCAGACACAAGCCUCCUUCCUACACGGCGAUCCAUCGGAUUCAUGGCCUAUGGAGAUACACAACAAAAAAGCUGUUUUGUACUCCUCGGUUUGGGCUGCUUUGGUAUAUCGCAAGGCAUGGGAUCAGAACAGUCCCCGCAUCUGUGUCUCAGAAGGAGCUCCCCUUUCUGAACUCCUGCCGCAUAUACUUUAGUGCCUGCCUUUUCUCAAGUUCGGAAGUACAUGGAACCAUCCACAGGUGCAUUAGACCAACAUGUUCCAAGCCAAAGUCAUCAUUGUCCUACCCACAUUUAAAACCCUGUUGAUAACCUUGAUAAAAUUCAACCAAGGAAGGCCAGUGACUUCCUGAGAGGACGGCUUCUGCUCCCAGAGAGCAGGGGUAGAGUAGAGGGAUAUCUGCUGGGGACUGGGUGACAAAGUGUUUGGCUGUGAACAAAAAGCAAAGACCUGGUCCAUAGGUGGAUGAAGUCAAGACCUUGGUUUUGGGGUGCUGCCCUUCACCAGUGGAUUCACUACCUGCUGGUCACUGGUCCUGAGCAUCUUCUUCCUCCCUGCAAGGCAGCGGGCCCUGUGAUGUGCUUUCUAGUGAGACUCGAAAGGCAUGGUGUUUGCCCCUUCCCGAGCUGCCCGCACCAGAUAUCACCAACACUGGAGGAGCAAGGCUGAGUCGUGCUCUAGAUGUCACCGAUCUGCCUGGCGCUCCUUUCACGAAUGGGAACAAACCUGUGCUGUCUCCCUUCCAUUGUUUAUUUUCUGCUCUUCUGUGAUGUUAUGAGAAGCAUAUUUUGAUUAAAAAAAAAUCAAGCCUGACGAUCAUUUGCAUAAAAGUAGCCCGCUAUGCGUCUCAGUAGCUGUGCCUAGGCAGAACAGUAGAUGAAGGGCAAGAUGUGUGCAUGCGUGCAAAAGUGUCAGACUGGGAUUUUUGCCCAUAUAAUGAACUGUCUAACAAGAUUUUUGUAUUUUCAACCUGAGCAUCACAGGGGGUGAAAUACACCCACACCACUCUUCUGUUAUGAAAACAUGUAUUUUAUCAUAAUGGAAUGUGGGUGUGCCUCACAGUAGCUGCACCUGGGGAAAGCAAAAACCCAUCUGUGCAUUCACCCACUUGGCAGAUGGCAAGGUGUGUACAGGAGCUCCAAAGCAGCAACAGGUGAGUUUUACCCAUGAAACGCUCUUUGCUACAUUUCUCCUGCAUUUAAGAUUUGUUUAAAAAAAAAGUUUUCUUUUGUUUCUUCUGGUAGAAGUAGCCCAGCU